GGGCUGAACGGUUUCGACUUCGCGCAUCGAAUCAAGGGAAGCGUGCCGGUGCAGGCAACUGACCACCGUAAGCGUCGUUGCAACCAAUUAAGCGCCGAUUCCAAUCAGCGCGACUUCGCUCUCGCUGCCUAAGCGACGGUGAGUCUGUCAGACCGGGAGUGCCCUCGGCCCGGACCCUGGCAUCAGCUAGAGGGCUAAACCGAUACGUCCGGUCGCGGGAUGUAUCGGGACAUCAAACAGCGACUGGGAUCGUCAUCCUGACUUGUUCGCGUGAGCAGGAGAUCCGAGUAGAGACCUAGCGAACUGCGCACGGAGAAGCCUCGAGGGAAUGCCGUAGGACCCGGGUUCAAUUCCCGGCAGCUCCACCG
rnacentral:tmRNA from 1 species